rnacentral:rRNA from 1 species
GAACGCUAGCUACAGGCUUAACACAUGCAAGUCGAGGGGCAGCAUGGUCUUAGCUUGCUAAGGCCGAUGGCGACCGGCGCACGGGUGAGUAACACGUAUCCAACCUGCCGUCUACUCUUGGACAGCCUUCUGAAAGGAAGAUUAAUACAAGAUGGCAUCAUGAGUCCGCAUGUUCACAUGAUUAAAGGUAUUCCGGUAGACGAUGGGGAUGCGUUCCAUUAGAUAGUAGGCGGGGUAACGGCCCACCUAGUCUUCGAUGGAUAGGGGUUCUGAGAGGAAGGUCCCCCACAUUGGAACUGAGACACGGUCCAAACUCCUACGGGAGGCAGCAGUGAGGAAUAUUGGUCAAUGGGCGAGAGCCUGAACCAGCCAAGUAGCGUGAAGGAUGACUGCCCUAUGGGUUGUAAACUUCUUUUAUAAAGGAAUAAAGUCGGGUAUGGAUACCCGUUUGCAUGUACUUUAUGAAUAAGGAUCGGCUAACUCCGUGCCAGCAGCCGCGGUAAUACGGAGGAUCCGAGCGUUAUCCGGAUUUAUUGGGUUUAAAGGGAGCGUAGAUGGAUGUUUAAGUCAGUUGUGAAAGUUUGCGGCUCAACCGUAAAAUUGCAGUUGAUACUGGAUAUCUUGAGUGCAGUUGAGGCAGGCGGAAUUCGUGGUGUAGCGGUGAAAUGCUUAGAUAUCACGAAGAACUCCGAUUGCGAAGGCAGCCUGCUAAGCUGCAACUGACAUUGAGGCUCGAAAGUGUGGGUAUCAAACAGGAUUAGAUACCCUGGUAGUCCACACGGUAAACGAUGAAUACUCGCUGUUUGCGAUAUACUGCAAGCGGCCAAGCGAAAGCGUUAAGUAUUCCACCUGGGGAGUACGCCGGCAACGGUGAAACUCAAAGGAAUUGACGGGGGGCCCGCACAAGCGGAGGAACAUGUGGUUUAAUUGGAUGAUACGCGAGGAACCUUACCCGGGCUUAAAUUGCAGAUGAAUUACGGUGAAAGCCGUAAGCCGCAAGGCAUCUGUGAAGGUGCUGCAUGGUUGUCGUCAGCUCGUGCCGUGAGGUGUCGGCUUAAGUGCCAUAACGAGCGCAACCCUUGUUGUCAGUUACUAACAGGUUCCGCUGAGGACUCUGACAAGACUGCCAUCGUAAGAUGUGAGGAAGGUGGGGAUGACGUCAAAUCAGCACGGCCCUUACGUCCGGGGCUACACACGUGUUACAAUGGGGGGUACAGAGGGCCGCUACCACGCGAGUGGAUGCCAAUCCCCAAAACCUCUCUCAGUUCGGACUGGAGUCUGCAACCCGACUCCACGAAGCUGGAUUCGCUAGUAAUCGCGCAUCAGCCACGGCGCGGUGAAUACGUUCCCGGGCCUUGUACACACCGCCCGUCAAGCCAUGGGAGCCGGGGGUACCUGAAGUGCGUAACCGCGAGGAGCGCCCUAGGGUAAAACUGGUGACUG